AACUUUAAUAAAUUAUUGGGCAAUUCUAAACAUUCAUCCUUCCCAACACAUACCUAUAUGCAGUGACUCUCUCUCUCUCUUCUCUCUCUCUCUCUCUCUCGCUUUGUCUCCAUAGGCGUCGAGUACAGGAGCAUCACCGCCAUCGCACCAACGUCAAUCCACAAUUGGAGCAUUACCCCAGAGAAGAUUCCAAUAUCUACUAUGAAACAACUAAACAUUGGGUAGCGUUGGUAAAAGCAAUCUGGAAAUCAUUUCCUGAGAUGAUUUUUGGCGUGCAAUUGUAGAUACAGUUUUUUUUAUUUGGGGUCUAUAGAGGACAUUGUUUUUUGUCUAUGGAUUACUAUUGUUCGUACAAAUACUUAUUGGACCGGUACAAAUUACUUUUGGCAUGGUAUAGAUUAUCCUUUUGGCAUGAUAUUGUGGAUAUUACUUUUUUGUGUAUAAAAGACAUGGUUUUUGUAUAAUCCUCUUUUUUGUAUGGAAUUACAUUUUUUAGGUUGGAUUUUA